rnacentral:rRNA from 1 species
UACGUAGGGGGCAAGCGUUGUCCGGAAUCAUUGGGCGUAAAGCGCGCGUAGGCGGCCCGGUAAGUCCGCUGUGAAAGUCGGGGGCUCAACCCUCGGAUGCCGGUGGAUACUGUCGGGCUUGAGUGCGGAAGAGGCGAGUGGAAUUCCUGGUGUAGCGGUGAAAUGCGCAGAUAUCAGGAGGAACACCGGUGGCGAAGGCGGGUCUCUGGGCCGAUACUGACGCUGAGGAGCGAAAGCGUGGGGAGCGAACAGG